rnacentral:lncRNA from 1 species
UUCAGUUCUUUCAUCAGGGACUGUGACAUGAUUCUCUCCAGCUGGAGAAGCAGGGAAUUCCAGAAGAAAACUCCGAGAACAGUUCCUCAAGACAAGUGUUGGAAUCCUAGAUCAGUGAGGAAGCCUUCAAAAGCACCAUCUGGACACUGUGUGAAGAUAUGAUAGGAGGUAUUUUCUGUUACACCACCCCUUUUUACACCUUUGAACUUGCGUCCAGCCUUGCCAUUGACUUUUAGGAUCCAAGAUUGGUCUUCAGGUUUGAAUUCCUUC